AGGUGCCUCCAUUGUCACAUGGGUCACUCGCACACUCAUCAAUGUCCACUUCACAGUGGUCUCCUUUGGAAAUUAACAGGUUUAGUCUUGGAAGAACAACUGAAGCUGUCAAGAGAGGCAGGCUCAUCUCCCAUCCUGCCUGUUCCCAGUUGGGUACGAAAUGCUUCCCGUAUAGUGGCCUCACUUGGCCAAGCCUCACUGGGCGAGACAGCAUAAUCAGCAGUACAUGUUGUCAACCUGCUGUAAAAUGCAGACUCGCUGGUUGCUCCAGAAGCAUCUGUUUCAAACCCAGCAGGACAUGGCACACAUUCUGUCUGUCCUGUCUCUGGCUGGUAGGUGUCUUCAGGACAGAUGUUACAAGGUACCACACCAGUAGAAGAGUUACUUAAGCUUCCAGCAGGACACACAACUGUGAGACCAACCAAAAUACAGAUGGAUUUCUCACAGUAUCUGCUGCAGUGUACUGGGAACACAAAUUGAGAUCUCAUCAACACAGACUACUACACAAAGCUUUCACCAUCACUAAGUGUGGAGGACCAUUCACAUUGGUAUCUGGUCAUGAACAAUCAUUAUGCUUUAUCACCCUUCUAGAUUUUUCACUAGUUUUGAUUUUAAAAGUCUUGUUAUCUAAAUUCUUUUUCAAAGCAUUUUAUCUGUCCUUGGUGCUGAAAAUGUGAUUAGUGUGUUGGAUUUCAACUUAGAUAUCUUAAAUUACAAGCAAUAGUUGGUGCCACUGUAAUGCCUUAAAGUGAUCACAUAAAUAUAGCUAAACUGGGUCGCUUUAGCCAUCUACCAUAACACAAAUAUACAAGUG